rnacentral:lncRNA from 10 species
AUUGAAAAACCUCACCUACUCUCGCGGGUCCUCAGCGUUCUCCUGCGGAACCUUUGAACGGGGUACUCGAGCCCACAGGGGAAGAGCAGCGGAAGGGGCCUUUCGGAACGAUUUGGAACGAAAGGAAGUGGAAGAAACGCGGAACCAUGGCCGCUGUGGUUGCUGUUUGCGGUGGUCUAGGGAGGAAGAAGUUGACACACUUGGUAACGGCUGCUGUCAGCCUUACACAUCCCGGGACUCACACGGUGCUUUGGAGAAGAGGUUGUUCACAACAGGUAUCCAGCAAUGAGGACCUGGUAAGAAUUUUUUUUUCUAUUAGUAAGGCCUUUGCAAAUAUGACCAAAAUGUUUUUCUUUUUAAAACGAGAUCUGGUAUUAGACUCUAACAUCUUUUAUUUUAGCUACUUGAAUAGAGUUCUGCCGUAGGACAAAACAAUUUGAUAAUUACUCUGAGUUCAGAAAUGAUGAUGAAUUGAUUGUAGUCAUGUAGUCAGCUGAGUUUUGAAGUAGGGGAAUUCCUAGAUUAGAAGCAAAGCUGCUAUAAUACCAUAUUUUUCUUCCUAGAUCUUAAAUUUAAGGAUAUGUGAUUUGGGAAUUGUUUUUUUUUUUUUUACAUAGCCCUUUGUAAGCAAAUGAUAUGGGAAUUUUAAAAGGUAGUUUGGGUGAGCAGAAUUUUAGAUAACUGAAAAGAGACUGUACAAAGCUUAGCUAUAGGUUGGCUAUAGUAUUAACAUGGACUUUCUGAAAGCACAGGUUCUUGCUACAUGCAAAGGUAUUUUGACACUAAUUAGACCAUACAAAGCACUUGGCACAGAGCUGAAGAGUAGUUACGUGAGCUGAAUGUAAAUUGGAAAGUUUGAGGAAUUGGAAAAAACAAAAGAACUUGUCUAGUUUCUCUGAGCAUCUGUCUUGGUAAUCUAAUCCAUGCACCAUACUUUAAGAAAGUAAAGGGACAUUAUUUCUUUUUUAGUUCAUAAAUCCCACUUUGUCUCUAAUCAAAGUUAUGGACCCUCUCCACAGAAAAAGGCACACAGUCCCAUUCAUUUGAAGUUUUGCAUACGAUUACAGGGAGUCAUGGGCUUCAAAGCCAUUUCUAGAUUAAGAACCUCUAUCCUGGAGACAGCCAUACUGACUGUAGGAAGGAGGCACUGUGACAAAAGCAUUAGAGGCAGUGGUGGUAACAGAAAAGCCAAAAAGACUGAUACAAACUUAUAUAGUAGCCUGGGGUGAUAAAGUCAAAGAACCUUUUAUUACAGUAAGUCAUGGGCCAUUAUCUGUGUAUAAAAAUAGUGAUAAAAUACUUGAUAGAGACAUGGGGAUGGAUAAAUUAGGGAUUGUACUCAUUUAAGAAUGGCAUAUGUUAUCUAUUGUGUUGUAAGUUUCCUUAAAUCUAAAAAUUUUUUCAUUAUCUACAAUCUGAGCAAAGCAUUGGAACACUUUCUUAUCAGACAUCAUUUUUGUUCUGCCAUAAAAUUUUAUUCUAUGAAGAUUGUACUUUAUUCCAGAAUCUUCCCAUGCGUUAAUCCGUAGGCUAAACUAAAACAAAAUAAAGUGCUUAUACAAAAUAUGUACACAGUAAGAAAGGUAUAACUAAUCCUUUGAAUGGAUUUGAAUGUAGAAUAGUAACCUUUUAAAAUUCAGAAUUAACACAUCCUAUUAUCAGACUUUUCGUUUUUUUCCCUAGCCCAUUUCAAUGGAAAAUCCUUAUAAAGAACCUCUUAAGAAAUGUAUCUUGUGUGGAAAGCAUGUAGAUUAUAAGAAUGUACAGGUGAGAUCUGGUUUUACUUCACUAUAUUUUAGGGUUUUGCUUCUGAUAGAUCUGCUUAAAGAGAAUCAAGUCAGUUUAUAGCAGGCUUUUGUAGAGGUAACUGUUUUAGCAACUUCAUAAUUUCAAAUUUGGUUAUAAUUCUAUGUAUAAGCUUAUCUCUGCUUUAUUCAAGUAAAAGCACCUUGGCUUUCCCCCACUUACUGUUAUUUCCACUCUGUUUUUUUCACUACCCCAAACAUCUUAAUAGCUCCCUGUGGCAGUAAUUCUCAAUUGGUGAGGGUCAGAACUUUGGAAAAAGCUCAUCUGGUGAAGCUGAUCUCUUUAUCUCACCACCCAUAUCACUGAUUCACAUAUUACUUAUCUCUUGUCUAACUCUCAGCAAGUUAGAAGUUGCAAAUUUGGGGCAAGUGAAUAGCGCUAGAAUUCUGUAUGUUGGCUGGGUGUGGUGGCUCACGCCUGUAAUCCCAGCACUUUGGGAGGCCAAGGCGGGCGGAUCACCUGAGGUCAGGAGUUUGAGACCAGCCUGGCCAAUGUGGUGAAACCCCGUCUCUAUUAAAAAUACAAAAAUUAGCUGAGUGUGGUGGUGCAUGCCUGUAAUCCCAGCUACUUGGGAGGCUGAGGCAGGAGAUUUGCUUGAACCCAGGAGGCGGAAGUUGCAGUGAGCUGAGAUCGUGCCAUUGCACUCCAGCCUGGGUGACAAGAGUAAAACUCUGUC